rnacentral:rRNA from 1 species
GAUGAACGCUGGCGGCGUACCUAAUACAUGCAAGUCGAGCGAAUGGAUUAAGAGCUUGCUCUUAUGAAGUUAGCGGCGGACGGGUGAGUAACACGUGGGUAACCUGCCCAUAAGACUGGGAUAACUCCGGGAAACCGGGGCUAAUACCGGAUAAUAUUUUGAACUGCAUGGUUCAAAAUUGAAAGGCGGCUUCGGCUGUCACUUAUGGAUGGACCCGCGUCGCAUUAGCUAGUUGGUGAGGUAACGGCUCACCAAGGCAACGAUGCGUAGCCGACCUGAGAGGGUGAUCGGCCACACUGGGACUGAAACACGGCCCAGACUCCUACGGGAGGCAGCAGUAGGGAAUCUUCCGCAAUGGACGAAAGCCUGACGGAGCAACGCCGCGUGAGUGAUGAAGGCUCUCGGGUCGUAAAACUCUGUUGUUAGGGAAGAACAAGUGCUAGUUGAAUAAGCUGGCACCUUGACGGUACCUAACCAGAAAGCCACGGCUAACUACGUGCCAGCCGCCGCAGUAA